rnacentral:rRNA from 1 species
UACGUAGGGUGCAAGCGUUGUCCGGAAUUAUUGGGCGUAAAGAGCUCGUAGGCGGUCUGUCGCGUCGGCUGUGAAAACCCGGGGCUCAACCCCGGGCCUGCAGUCGAUACGGGCAGACUAGAGUGCGGUAGGGGAGACUGGAAUUCCUGGUGUAGCGGUGAAAUGCGCAGAUAUCGGGAGGAACACCGGUGGCGAAGGCGGCGAGUCUGGUCGAUACUGACGCUGAGGUGCGAAAGCGUGGGGAGCAAACA